rnacentral:tRNA from 1 species
GGUGGCUCAGUGUUAGAGUGCUUGCCUUGCAUGCAUGAGGACCUGGGUUCGAUUCCUCAGCACCA